UUUCCAUCAGGAUAGCUGGAGCUCGCGUGCGAGUUCUAUCGGGUAAAGCCAAUAAUUAGAAGCCUUGUGGGUGCAACACCCUCGACCUAUUCUCAAACUUUAAAUAGGUAGGACGGCGCGACUAAAGAAUGUAUUUAAAUCCUAUAACCUCCA
rnacentral:ncRNA from 2 species